rnacentral:rRNA from 1 species
UACGAAGGGGGCUAGCGUUGUUCGGAAUUACUGGGCGUAAAGCGUGCGCAGGCGGCUUCUCAAGUCAGGGGUGAAAGCCCAGAGCUCAACUCUGGAAUUGCCUUUGAGACUGCAUUGCUAGAGUAUGGGAGAGGGAAGUGGAAUUUCCGGUGUAGCGGUGAAAUGCGUAGAUAUCGGGAGGAACACCAGUGGCGAAGGCGACUUCCUGGCCUGUUCUUGACGCUGAGGCGCGAAAGCUAGGGGAGCAAACGGG